CAGGAUGCCAGGACCAUGAACCAAGCCAAAGGGAGAUGCUUAACCAACUGAGCCACCCAGGCCUCAUCAUCUCCCUGAAGGACGACUGGCUCUCCCAAGCCACUGCAUAUAUGGCACCUACAGUGAUCUCUAGGAAAGCAAGGGACAAGUCAUGCCUCUGUUUGAAACUCUUCAGUGGCUCCUGUCUCAGUGCCCUUUGACUAAAAGCCAAGCUUUCCUGUACUCUCCAGGAACACUGAAGGGCUUUACGGAGGCACGUUCUCAUCAAAGGACCCAGAAGCGGGGAAUGGCAGAGCUACAAGAGCUGGUGGACGGCCAGAGCGGCCAGCCGAAGCCCAGAGAGGGCCAGGAACCUGCUCAGGGUCACACAGCCAGUCGCAGGCUACAGGAUGAAAAAGCGGGUCCUAGCUUCCCAGGGCUCCGCCCAUCAGGAGCCAAAACCCAGGUUGCCAACGGGAGAAGACAAACGCCCCCGCUCUGGCCAGAUGACAGGAAGGCUGCCCGGGAGCGCACACCUGAGACAGGGGCUCCCCGUGUGCAGCAGAGACCCCCGUGGGGCUCCCACCACCACUCACGCCCUCGCGACCUGCAUCCCACCGCUGCACAGCUGGGGCCAUUGUCCUGGCCCUGCAGACAAGGUGUGGAGGUUGUGUCCUCCCUCGGCCCA